rnacentral:lncRNA from 1 species
AAACAUUUUUAUUAGACAAAUUAUUUAGACAAAUUAUACACAGAAAGCUCUGUCACUCAUAACUGAGGCCUUCAAAAAGUGGUUUGUGUAUUUGUAUAAUAGGCAAUACAUCAAAAUAGGCCUAUUUUAAAUAUUGUACAUGGUUAACAGUUUGUUGAUAGCUAAAAUCACUGCAACAUCUGGUAUGUCCCUAUAUAGCUUGUUGUAAAGGUUUUUUGUUUUAAAAUCAGAGUCGUGAAUGAGAUCAUGGAUGUUACAAGGGAAAACAAGUUGUGCAUGCACUUAGAUACUUGUUACC